rnacentral:rRNA from 1 species
GAUGAACGCUGGCGGCGUGCCUAAUACAUGCAAGUCGAGCGAACGGACGAGAAGCUUGCUUCUCUGAUGUUAGCGGCGGACGGGUGAGUAACACGUGGAUAACCUACCUAUAAGACUGGGAUAACUUCGGGAAACCGGAGCUAAUACCGGAUAAUAUUUUGAACCGCAUGGUUCAAAAGUGAAAGACGGUCUUGCUGUCACUUAUAGAUGGAUCCGCGCUGCAUUAGCUAGUUGGUAAGGUAACGGCUUACCAAGGCAACGAUGCAUAGCCGACCUGAGAGGGUGAUCGGCCACACUGGAACUGAGACACGGUCCAGAUUCCUACGGGAGGCAGCAGUAGGGAAUCUUCCGCAAUGGGCGAAAGCCUGACGGAGCAACGCCGCGUGAGUGAUGAAGGUCUUCGGAUCGUAAAACUCUGUUAUUAGGGAAGAACAUAUGUGUAAGUAACUGUGCACAUCUUGACGGUACCUAAUCAGAAAGCCACGGCUAACUACGUGCCAGCAGCCGCGGUAAUACGUAGGUGGCAAGCGUUAUCCGGAAUUAUUGGGCGUAAAGCGCGCGUAGGCGGUUUUUUAAGUCUGAUGUGAAAGCCCACGGCUCAACCGUGGAGGGUCAUUGGAAACUGGAAAACUUGAGUGCAGAAGAGGAAAGUGAAAUUCCAUGUGUAGCGGUGAAAUGCGCAGAGAUAUGGAGGAACACCAGUGGCGAAGGCGACUUUCUGGUCUGUAACUGACGCUGAUGUGCGAAAGCGUGGGGAUCAAACAGGAUUAGAUACCCUGGUAGUCCACGCCGUAAACGAUGAGUGCUAAGUGUUAGGGGGUUUCCGCCCCUUAGUGCUGCAGCUAACGCAUUAAGCACUCCGCCUGGGGAGUACGACCGCAAGGUUGAAACUCAAAGGAAUUGACGGGGACCCGCACAAGCGGUGGAGCAUGUGGUUUAAUUCGAAGCAACGCGAAGAACCUUACCAAAUCUUGACAUCCUUUGACAACUCUAGAGAUAGAGCCUUCCCCUUCGGGGGACAAAGUGACAGGUGGUGCAUGGUUGUCGUCAGCUCGUGUCGUGAGAUGUUGGGUUAAGUCCCGCAACGAGCGCAACCCUUAAGCUUAGUUGCCAUCAUUAAGUUGGGCACUCUAAGUUGACUGCCGGUGACAAACCGGAGGAAGGUGGGGAUGACGUCAAAUCAUCAUGCCCCUUAUGAUUUGGGCUACACACGUGCUACAAUGGACAAUACAAAGGGCAGCGAAACCGCGAGGUCAAGCAAAUCCCAUAAAGUUGUUCUCAGUUCGGAUUGUAGUCUGCAACUCGACUACAUGAAGCUGGAAUCGCUAGUAAUCGUAGAUCAGCAUGCUACGGUGAAUACGUUCCCGGGUCU